rnacentral:rRNA from 1 species
GACGAACGCUGGCGGCGUGCUUAACACAUGCAAGUCGAACGGAAAGGCCCUGCUUUUGUGGGGUGCUCGAGUGGCGAACGGGUGAGUAACACGUGAGUAACCUGCCCUUGACUUUGGGAUAACUUCAGGAAACUGGGGCUAAUACCGGAUAGGAGCUCCUGCUGCAUGGUGGGGGUUGGAAAGUUUCGGCGGUUGGGGAUGGACUCGCGGCUUAUCAGCUUGUUGGUGGGGUAGUGGCUUACCAAGGCUUUGACGGGUAGCCGGCCUGAGAGGGUGACCGGCCAAUUGGGGAGUGAGAGAGGGCCCAGACUCCAGGGGGAGGAAAGGGGGGGAAUUUUUGAAAAGGGGGGGGGAGCGGGAGGCGAAACCGCCGCGGGGGGAAGAAGGGCUUGGGGUUGGAAACCCGCUUGCGCCUGAAAAAAGGGGGGAGGGAGGGAAAGGGAUAAAGAAGCACCGGAAAACUAGGGG